rnacentral:rRNA from 1 species
AACGUGUCGCGAUGGAUGACUUGGCUUCCUA